rnacentral:rRNA from 1 species
GAUGAACGCUGGCGGUGUGCCUAAUACAUGCAAGUCGAGCGAACAGACGAGGAGAUUGCUCCUUCGACGUUAGCGGCGGACGGGUGAGUAACAAGUAGGUAACCUACCAAUAAGACUGGGAUAACAUCGGGAAAACGGAGCUACUACUAGAUCAUAUUUCGAACCGCAUGGAUCGAUAGUGAAAGAUAGCUUUGCUAUCACUUUUAGAUGAUCCUGCGUCGUAUUAGCUAGUUGGUAAGGUAACGGCUUACCAAGGCAACGAUACGUAGCCGACCUGAGAGGGUGAUCGGCCACACUGGAACUGAGACACGGUCCAGACUCCUACGGGAGGCAGCAGUAGGGAAUCUUCCACAAUGGGCGAAAGCCUGACGGAGCAACACCGCGUGGGUGAUGAAGGUCUUCGGGUCGUAAAACUCUGUUAUUAGGGAAGAACAAACGUGUAAGUAACUGUGCACGUCUUGACGGUACCUAAUGAGAAAGCCACGGCUAACUUCGUG